CCUUGUCUCUCCUGUAACGAAGUAAAAAUAAAGAAAAAAAAUAAUCACAAAUCACAUCUUCUCACACUUUAUCAAAAGCUCCAAAAUCUAUCAUUGAAAAACAAUAAAUCACACAAGUUUAGUACUUACAGACAUUUAGAUGCUCCAAAAGAACUGCACUAGUAUUAGCCUAAAUCUGUAAAUCAGAAAGAAAUUUAUUUUUAGUUAGGUUUAAAUGGAAAAUAGAAGAAGACAGAGAUGGAGAAGAUGAAGAAGAAGUUAAUAAUCUCUGAGAAAAUAGAUGGAGAAGAUGAAGAAGAACACACCUUCACUUGAUAUAUGCAGCUGAAGAUUGAAAAAAACUGCUGUAUCUAAUGGAGAAGUUUAUGAAGGAAAGAUGCUGCUCCUCUCAAAACUCCAUGGUUUGGCUUAUUGUGGCAACACUGGCGAGAUAUACCCUUAACAAUACGUGGUCUGCAAUUCCGGCUUCACUGAUUUCAGGUCAAUUUAUUAGUUUACCGUUUUUGCUAGUAGUUGUUCCCUUCUUUCAUCUCUCUUCUAAAUGGUCUUUAGUCUUAAAAUAACAUUCAAAGUUUCAAAGUGAAGUUUACAUUCUGUUAGGUUGAGGCACAUAAGUAGAUGCUAUGUAAUUUGCUCAAAACUUAAGUCAACAUUUUGGCACCCAUAUGUUCCAUUGCCACUAUUAUCUAAGUUCCUCCUUCCAGCCCUAGAUGUAUGCAACUUUAGUUAUGGUACAAGUACUUUUGUAUUUUACAACCUACCUCUUGUGAAUGAUGUUUUUUUUUUCCU